rnacentral:rRNA from 1 species
CCCGUUCCCAUUCCGAACACGGAAGUUAAGCUCUUCAGCGCCGAUGGUAGUUGGGACCUUGUCCCUGUGAGAGUAGGACGUCGCUAGGC